AUGGCUCAGAACGAACGCUGGUGGCGUGUCUUAUACAUGCAAGUCGAGCGAGGCAGCAAUGCCGAGCGGCGAACGGGUGAGUAACGCGUAAGCAAUCUGCCCCAUAUCAGGAAAUACCCGUGCCAACGCGCGGUUAAUGUCCAGGAGAGUGGCCUUCUGCAUGGAAGGUUGACUAGAGAUUUAUCGGUAUGGGAUGAGCUUGCGUCCGAUUAGCUAGUUGGCGGGGCAACGGCCCACCAAGGCGACGAUCGGUAGCCGGCCUGAGAGGGUGAUCGGCCACAUUGGGACUGAGAUACGGCCCAGACUCCUACGGGAGGCAGCAGUAGGGAAUAUUGCACAAUGGGGGAAACCCUGAUGCAGCAACGCCACGUGUGGGAAGAAGCAUUUCGGUGUGUAAACCACUGUCAUGAGGGAAUAAGGCCCUUAUCCGUAAGGGAUUGAAUGUACCUUGAGAGGAAGCACCGGCAAACUUCGUGCCAGCCGCCGC
rnacentral:rRNA from 1 species